AUCAGGCUGACGAGUUCCAAACAGGACGAAACGCGCGUCCUGGAU
rnacentral:hammerhead_ribozyme from 1 species